rnacentral:rRNA from 1 species
CCCUUAGAUGUUCUGGGCCGCACACGCGCUACACUGACUACUUCAACGAGUUGUUUCCUUGAUCGAAAGGUCUGGGUAAUCUUUGAAAGGUAGUCGUGAUGGGGAUAGAUCCUUGCAAUUUUUGAUCUUCAACGAGGAAUUCCUAGUAAACGCAAGUCAUCAGCUUGCAUUGAUUACGUCCCUGCCCUUUGUACACACCGCCCGUCGCACCUACCGAUUGAAUGGUCCGGUGAAUCUUUAGGACUGUGGCUGAGGCCUUGCCUUGUGCGGGUCUGGCCGUGGGAAUUUAGUUAAACCUUACCAUUUAGAGGAAGGUGAAGUCGUAACA